rnacentral:rRNA from 1 species
UACGUAGGGUCCGAGCGUUGUCCGGAAUUACUGGGCGUAAAGAGCUCGUAGGUGGUUUGUCGCGUUGUUCGUGAAAACCGGGGGCUUAACCCUCGGCGUGCGGGCGAUACGGGCAGACUUGAGUACUGCAGGGGAGACUGGAAUUCCUGGUGUAGCGGUGAAAUGCGCAGAUAUCAGGAGGAACACCGAUGGCGAAGGCAGGUCUCUGGGCAUUAACUGACGCUGAGGAGCGAAAGCAUGGGGAGCGAACAGG